CCCCUACAUUGAUACCCCGCGGACCGAAAUUGAUGCGAACGCGACCUAUUUAACCAAUGGUUUCCGGAGCGCUGCACGCAAUAAUUUGUCGGCUUUGGACUCUGUUGAAAACUCAUUUCAGUCUCCUUCUAAAGAUCAUGAUUUACUCAAAGGCUUCGAAACUGGGCGAAGUCGAAGGCGCUCUGGAUUUAGUUUAAAAACUCCGAGAGCGGGCUCAGGACGGAAUCCAACAAGAAAUGUUUUCCAUGACCGGCGCAAUCUUCCAACCGUCCCACCUCCAAAGGGAGAAUUUACUCCGAUGCUGAACAGCGUCACCAGGAAUAAGUUGACUCGACAUGACUAUUCGACGCGUCGACGCUCUGGUCCGGAAACGCCAGCUGCCCUGAGAAAUGGAUAUCAAGGUAACCGUAAUACCCCGGGAUUGCCGAAAAUGGAUGUGACUGGAUAUGGAGAUGACUCCACAAACCUUGAUGGUGACCCUACACCGGUUCCGCGAAUAGCUAGCAGCAGCACUCAAAGCACCCCUCUCCCUUCACUGCCAGGGAGGAAUGGCAAUGUCGUCGGGGAUGGGCAUAACGUGAUGACAUUAAGAGAACAAGAAAAGGUUAUUGAUAAACUCGAUAAGGAAAAUUUCGGCCUAAAAUUAAAAAUACAUUUUUUAGAGCAAAACUUCAAGUUGUCGAAACCCGAAUUUGCCCAAGCUGCGAUACAAGAAAACACCGAACUCAAAGUCACAAAACUGACGAUGGAGCGUGAUUUACACCAAUGCAAGAAAAGUCUUCGGCGC
rnacentral:sRNA from 2 species